rnacentral:rRNA from 1 species
UACAGAGGUCUCAAGCGUUGUUCGGGAUUCAUUGGGCGUAAAGGGUGUGUAGGUGGCGCCGUAAGUCGGGUGUGAAAUUUCGGAGCUUAACUCCGAAACUGCAUUCGAUACUGCGGUGCUUGAGGACUGGAGAGGAGACUGGAAUUUACGGUGUAGCAGUGAAAUGCGUAGAUAUCGUAGGAAGACCAGUGGCGAAGGCGGGUCUCUGGACAGUUCCUGACAG